rnacentral:misc_RNA from 1 species
UCCCGGUUGCCCCGGGCAGUCUCGCCUGAAAAAUACAACAGACGAUAAGGGUUGCGCUCGUUGCGGGACUUAACCCAACAUCUCACGACACGAGCUGACGACGGCCAUGCAGCACCUGUCACCGCGCUCCUUACGGCACUCCGCUGUUUCCAGCAGAUUCGCGGGAUGUCAAACCUUGGUAAGGUUCUUCGCGUAGCUUCGAAUUAAACCACAUGCUCCACCGCUUGUGCGGGUCCCCGUCAAUUCCUUUGAGUUUUAGCCUUGCGGCCGUACUCCCCAGGCGGGAUGCUUAACGCGUUAGCUUCUCAGCACAAAGGGUCGAUACUUCAUACUAAUAGCAUCCAUCGUUUACGGCGUGGACUAC